UGCAGUCGAACGGCAGCACGGAGCUUGCUCUGGUGGCGAGUGGCGAACGGGYGAGUAAUAUAUCGGAACGUACCCAGGAGUGGGGGAUAACGUAGCGAAAGUUACGCUAAUACCGCAUACGUCCUAAGGGAGAAAGUGGGGGAUCGCAAGACCUCAUGCUCAUGGAGCGGCCGAUAUCUGAUUAGCUAGUUGGUAGGGUAAAAGCCUACCAAGGCAACGAUCAGUAGCUGGUCUGAGAGGACGACCAGCCACACUGGAACUGAGACACGGUCCAGACUCCUACGGGAGGCAGCAGUGGGGAAUUUUGGACAAUGGGCGCAAGCCUGAUCCAGCAAUGCCGCGUGAGUGAAGAAGGCCUUCGGGUUGUAAAGCUCUUUUGUCAGGGAAGAAAAGGUCACGGCUAAUAUCCGUGGCUCAUGACGGUACCUGAAGAAUAAGCACCGGCUAACUACGUGCCARCAGCCGCGGUAAUACGUAGGGUGCAAGCGUUAAUCGGAAUUACUGGGCGUAAAGCGUGCGCAGGCGGUUUUGUAAGACUGUCGUGAAAUCCCCGGGCUCAACCUGGGAAUGGCGAUGGUGACUGCMAGGCUAGAGUUUGGCAGAGGGGGGUAGAAUUCCACGUGUAGCAGUGAAAUGCGUAGAUAUGUGGAGGAACACCGAUGGCGAANGCAGCCCCCUGGGUCAAAACUGACGCUCAUGCACGAAAGCGUGGGGAGCAAACAGGAUUAGAUACCCUGGUAGUCCACGCCCUAAACGAUGUCUACUANUUGUCGGG
rnacentral:rRNA from 1 species